GAGGAUUUAGCUCUAGUGGUAGAGUGCAUGCCUAGCAUGAUUGGGUCCUGGGUUCAAUUCCCAGUACCUCCA
rnacentral:tRNA from 1 species